rnacentral:rRNA from 1 species
GACGAACGCUGGCGGCGUGCUUAACACAUGCAAGUCGAACGGAAAGGCCCUGCUUUUGUGGGGUGCUCGCGUGGCGCACGGGUGAGUAACACGUGAGUAUCCUGCCCUUGACUUUGGGAUAACUUCAGGCAACUGGGGAUAAUACCGGCUAGGAGCUCCUGAUGCAUGGUGGGGUUUGGAAAGUUUCGGCGGAUGGGGAUGGACUGGCGGCUUAUCAGCUUGUUGGUGGGGGAGUGGCUUACCAAGUCUUUGGCGGGUAGCCGGCCUGAGAGGGUGACCAGGCACAAUGGGACUACGGGACGGACCAGACGCGAACGUGAGACAGCAGUGGGGAAUAUGGCACAAUGGGCGGAAGCCUGUGGCAGAAACGCCGCGAGCGUGAUGACGGCCUUCGGGUUGUAAACCGCUGUAGCUUGUGACGAAGCGUGAGUGACGGUAAUGGGUAAAGAAGCACCGGCUAACUACGUG